UACGUAGGGGGCUAGCGUUGUCCGGAUUUAUUGGGCGUAAAGAGCGUGUAGGCGGCCAGGUAGGUCUGGUGUGAAAACUCGAGGCUUAACCUCGAGAUGUCAUCGGAAACCAUUUGGCUAGAGUCCGGAAGAGGAGAGUGGAAUUCCUGGUGUAGUGGUGAAAUGUGCAGAUAUCAGGAAGAACACCCGUGGCGAAGGCGGUUCUCUGGGACGGUACUGACGCUGAGACGCGAAAGCGUGGGGAGCGAACAGG
rnacentral:rRNA from 1 species